rnacentral:rRNA from 1 species
GACGAACGCUGGCGGCGUGCUUAACACAUGCAAGUCGAACGGAAAGGCCCUGCUGUUGUGGGGUGCCCGAGUGGCGAACGGGUGAGUAACACGUGAGUAACCUGCCCUUGACUUUGGGAUAACUUCAGGAAACUGGGGCUAAUACCGGAUAGGAGCUCCUGCUGCAUGGUGGGGGUUGGAAAGUUUCGGCGGUUGGGGAUGGACUCGCGGCUUAUCAGCUUGUUGGUGGGGUAGUGGCUUACCAAGGCUUUGACGGGUAGCCGGCCUGAGAGGGUGACCGGCCACAUUGGGACUGAGAUACGGCCCAGACUCCUACGGGAGGCAGCAGUGGGGAAUAUUGCACAAUGGGCGGAAGCCUGAUGCAGCAACGCCGCGUGCGGGAUGACGGCCUUCGGGUUGUAAACCGCUUUCGCCUGUGACGAAGCGUGAGUGACGGUAAUGGGUAAAGAAGCACCGGCUAACUACGUG